UUUGAACGCGUUUUGGACGCGUUUUGAACGCGUUUUGACUCAGUAAACGCGUUUUACUAUUUAAACACGUUUUUCUGGUUAUUUAAGAGGGUUUUGGGGCUGAGAGAAUUCCUAAGUUGAAUCUGAGAACUGUUACCUAAAAGCAUUGGACCAGAGAAGUUUUAGAGCUAAGUUUGGAGCCACGAGAAGGAAUUCUAAGGCAGAGGAACGUCGGGGAACCGUUUGAAAGCAAGCUUAGGAGAAAACCAAGUCGGUGAUAUGCCGGUGGAGCAAGCCUUAGAUGGAGGAUCGACUGAAGAAUAGUUUUAAUAAUGAAACCUAUGUUUUUAUUUCUGUUUUAAGGUGUGGAGUGUAAUUAGUUUGAAUUAACAGUGAGGGUUUGUAUAAUAAUGAGGAAAAACUCUUAUUCCUCCUUCUAUCAACUGUUCUAUUGUAUCAAUGAUGUAAGAACUCUAUUAUAGUUUGAUGCUAUAAUUAUGGGGA